GAUGAACGCUGGCGGCGUGCCUAAUACAUGCAAGUCGAGCGAACGGACGAGAAGCUUGCUUUUCUGAUGUUAGCGGCGGACGGGUGAGUAACACGUGGAUAACCUACCUAUAAGACUGGGAUAACUUCGGGAAACCGGAGCUAAUACCGGAUAAUAUUUUGAACCGCAUGGUUCAAAAGUGAAAGACGGUCUUGCUGUCACUUAUAGAUGGAUCCGCGCUGCAUUAGCUAGUUGGUAAGGUAACGGCUUACCAAGGCAACGAUGCAUAGCCGACCUGAGAGGGUGAUCGGCCACACUGGAACUGAGACACGGUCCAGACUCCUACGGGAGGCAGCAGUAGGGAAUCUUCCGCAAUGGGCGAAAGCCUGGCGGAGCAACGCCGCGUGAGUGAUGAAGGUCUUCGGAUCGUAAAACUCUGUUAUUAGGGAAGAACAUAUGUGCAAGUAACUGUGCACAUCUUGACGGUACCUAAUCAGAAAGCCACGGCUAACUACGUG
rnacentral:rRNA from 1 species